GACGAACGCUGGCGGCGCGCUUAACACAUGCAAGUCGAGCGACUGCAUUCUUUUCGGAGGGUGUAUGGAGCGGCGAACGGGUGAGUAACACGUGAGUAAUCUGCCUUUGGCUUGGGAAUAACUUCGGGAAAUCGGGGCUAAUGCCUGAUGUUUACUGUCUGCUGCAUGGUGGGUGGUGGAAAGAUUUUUUGGCCAGGGAUGAGCUCGCGGUCUAUCAGCNGUUGGUGGGGUAAUGGCUUACCAAGGCUUUGACGGGUAGCCGGCCUGAGAGGGUGUUCGGCCACACUGGGACUGAGACACGGCCCAGGACUCCUACGGGGAGGCAGCAGUGGGGAAUAUUGCGCAAGUGGGCGCAAGCCUGACGCAGCGACGCCGCGUGGGGGAU
rnacentral:rRNA from 1 species